rnacentral:snRNA from 1 species
GUGCUCGCUUCGGCAGCACAUACACUAAAAUUGGAACGAUACAGAGAAGAUUAGCAUGGCCCCUGCUCAAGGAUGACAUGCAAAUUCGUGAAGUGUUCCAUAUUUUU